rnacentral:rRNA from 1 species
AACGAACGCUGGCGGCAUGCCUAACACAUGCAAGUCGAACGAGACCUUCGGGUCUAGUGGCGCACGGGUGCGUAACGCGUGGGAACCUGCCCUUAGGUUCGGAAUAACUCCCCGAAAGGGGUGCUAAUACCGGAUAAUGUCUUCGGACCAAAGAUUUAUCGCCUUUGGAUGGGCCCGCGUUGGAUUAGCUAGUUGGUAGGGUAAAAGCCUACCAAGGCGACGAUCCAUAGCUGGUCUGAGAGGAUGAUCAGCCACACUGGGACUGAGACACGGCCCAGACUCCUACGGGAGGCAGCAGUGGGGAAUAUUGGACAAUGGGCGAAAGCCUGAUCCAGCAAUGCCGGGUGAGUGAUGAAGGCCUUAGGGUUGUAAAGCUCUUUUAGCCGAGAUGAUAAUGACAGUACCGGGAGAAUAAGCUCCGGCUAACUCCGUG